GAAUUCUUAGUGGCGAACGGGUGAGUAACGCGUAGGCACCUGCCCUUUAGACGGGGACAACAUUCCGAAAGGAGUGCUAAUACCGGAUGUGGCCGCAUGGCGAAAGAUGGCCUUCAAGAAGCUAUCGCUAAAGGAUGGGCCUGCGUCUGAUUAGCUAGUUGGUAGUGUAACGGACUACCAAGGCGAUGAUCAGUAGCCGGUCUGAGAGGAUGAACGGCCACAUUGGGACUGAGACACGGCCCAAACUCCUACGGGAGGCAGCAGUGGGGAAUCUUCCGCAAUGGACGAAAGUCUGACGGAGCAACGCCGCGUGAGUGAUGAAGGAUUUCGGUCUGUAAAGCUCUGUUGUUUAUGACGAAGUGCAGUGUGUGAACAAUGCAUUGCAAUGACGGUAGUAAACGAGGAAGCCACGGCUAACUACGUGCCAGCAGCCGCGGUAAUACGUAGGUGGCGAGCGUUGUCCGGAAUUAUUGGGCGUAAAGAGCAUGUAGGCGGCUUAAUAAGUCGAGCGUGAAAAUGCGGGGCUCAACCCCGUAUGGCGCUGGAAACUGUUAGGCUUGAGUGCAGGAGAGGAAAGGG
rnacentral:rRNA from 1 species